GGACGCCGUAGCAAUACGGAGUGGCAGACGGGUGAGUAACACGUGGGAACAUGCCCUUCGGUUCGGAAUAACUCAGGGAAACUUGAGCUAAUACCGGAUACGUCCAAGGCAACUUGGAGAAAGAUUUAUCGCCGAUGGAUUGGCCCGCGUCUGAUUAGCUAGUUGGUGGGGUAAUGGCUCACCAAGGCGACGAUCAGUAGCUGGUCUGAGAGGAUGAUCAGCCACAUUGGGACUGAGACACGGCCCAAACUCCUACGGGAGGCAGCAGUGGGGAAUAUUGGACAAUGGGCGCAAGCCUGAUCCAGCCAUGCCGCGUGAGUGAUGAAGGCCCUAGGGUUGUAAAGCUCUUUUACCCGGGAAGAUAAUGACGGUACCGGGAGAAUAAGCCCCGGCUAACUUCGUG
rnacentral:rRNA from 1 species